GACAGAGGUGCCAAGCGUUAGGCGGAAUCACUGGGCUUAAAGCGUGUGUAGGCGGAAUUCUAAGUACCUUGUGAAAUCCCACGGCUCAACCGUGGAACUGCUUGGUAUACUGGUUUUCUUGAGCCACUUAGGGGCUGUCGGAACAAACGGUGGAGCGGUGAAAUGCGUUGAUAUCCUAAGGAACACCGGUGGCGAAAGCGGCUCACUGGACCUCUUCUGACGCUGAGGCACGAAAGCUAGGGUAGCAAACGGG
rnacentral:rRNA from 1 species